rnacentral:lncRNA from 1 species
CUUUGUCUGUAUUUAAAAGUGCUAACUGGAUCACCUGUGAUUUAAGAAAUGUCUAUUCCCGGUAUUCCACGUGCACAUUCUUGCUUGGAUAUUGAGCUCCUGCUGUGUAGUUAGAGCCUUUGGCAGUCUUUCUGUAGAGGUUUUGAAAUCUCUCCCUUGGGCUGCAUUAAAGCAAUGCACAUGCACCUCGCCAGCCCCCUUUGGGGUUCAUAUGGCUGGUGGGACCCAGCAUCGGCAGUGAUGAUUCACAGAAAAGCUGAGGAGAAGCACUGUAAACUCAGACUUGGGGGCUGUUGCACCUGACCAGGGAGGGCUUUUCUUCUGUCCCCAACCUAGGCUUUCUGGAGAGAGAAUUUGUUCUGUUUCACCCUGCAGUGAGAGAGAAGCAGAUAUGCUUAGUUGGGUCAGCAGUCAGCUGGUGUGGGGCUCCUUGGUGGGGGAGAUGGCUCUGGAUAGGGAAAUGACCCAGGAGCAGCCGGUGAGCAGGAACAGUAGAGAAUCAUGACGGCGGAGUUGGUCACCAUUGGACUAGCAUAAAGAGAAAAGCAGUGGUAAUCCAGGGAGUCAGCUGCUGGAGAGCAAAAUUCAGGUUUAGGACCUGCUGGCAGGAUCCUGACGUCGCGGCUCGCAACAGGCACCAUUUGGCCUGGGCUCCCACAGCUCAUUAUUUCUACUCAGCUGGAGUGAAGGACCACAGAAGAGCUGAGGGAUGCAUGUGUGUGUUCUUCUCAUAUGGAAAGGAA